GCUGAUGGUCAGAUGCUUCAUCCGGCUUUCAGGGCCUGAAGGUGGGGAAGACUUGGGACCAGUAUCCCGACAUGCUGAUCCCUGGACACUCUCUGCCCUGCCUUGUCGCUGCUUGCUCCUUCUGGCCCCCCUCCUCCCAGUCUCUUUCUUCAGCUGCAGAUGCAGAUGUCCUUCAUGCCUUUGCUUUGUUCAACUGUCACCUCCUUAAGGAAGCCCAUCUUAUUUAAACCAAUGCCUGCCAUCACUGCUCCCCAGCACCUUGGAGCCCCCUUAUCUGGCACUACUUUUUUUCCUAAAACGUCUAUCAUCUUCUAACACACCGUAUGAGUAUGUCUUGUGAUGAGAGGAUGACUAAAAAUACCUGGGAAGGCCCGGAGCAGGGCCCAGGGAUGCAGGAUUUUCUGAAGGAUCCCAUGGGAUUGGAAGAAAAUGCUGGGGCCGCCCAUACGCUGCUAAUGCCCUGGAGGCAGAACAGGGCAAAAGGAGAAUAGUGAUUUUGGGGAGAGGGAAAUAAGAAGUGAAGACCCCAGAUGAACUACAGCUAUGCAUAAGACUUAAAAUUAGAUUUUGG
rnacentral:lncRNA from 1 species